rnacentral:rRNA from 1 species
AUUGAACGCUGGCGGCAUGCCUUACACAUGCAAGUCGAACGGCAGCACGGACUUCGGUCCGGUGGCGAGUGGCGAACGGGUGAGUAAUAUAUCGGAACAUACCUUGUAGUGGGGGAUAACUAUCCGAAAGGAUAGCUAAUACCGCAUACGCUCUAAGGAGGAAAGUGGGGGAUCGCAAGACCUCAUGCUAUAAGAGUGGCCGAUAUCUGAUUAGCUAGUUGGUGAGGUAAAGGCUCACCAAGGCGACGAUCAGUAGCUGGGCUGAGAGGACGACCAGCCACACUGGAAGUGGGACACGGUCCAGACUCCUACGGGAGGCAGCAGUGGGGAAUUUUGGACAAUGGGGGCAACCCUGAUCCAGCAAUGCCGCGUGAGUGAAGAAGGCCUUCGGGUUGUAAAGCUCUUUUGUCAGGGAAGAAACGGUUGUGGCUAAUAUCCAUGGCUAAUGACGGUACCUGAAGAAUAAGCACCGGCUAACUACGUGCCAGCCGCCGCCGUAAAAC